rnacentral:tRNA from 1 species
GCCUCGGUAGCUCAAUUGGUAGAGCAGUUGACUCUUAAUCAAUUGGUUUGGGGUUCGAGUCCCCACCGGGGCACCA